AAAUUUGACAUUUUGCUUAUCCAUAAAAAUGUUUUCCGAUACUAAUUAUCUCAAUGCUCGCUGGCUUCUCUCAAAUAUAAUUCUAGAAGAAUCAGCUUUUAUUUCUUUUGUUCCAAGGAUGGAGAAACAUUCCAAGCUUAUAUAUUAGUUCAUCAGCAAGGAAUUAGAAGGUUUUCUAUUUCUUCAUCUUCUUCAAGUUUUUUAAAGAUUUUUUCCCCUAACUUUUGCUUAUUUUUUUCAUGUAUAGCUAAAUUUAAGAAAAACGAUUUAUAAUUUUGGAUAUGCUGUGUCAGAUUUUUGGACUUUUUUGUUCCUGCUUGUAUUAGUCCAAUUGGAUACAGAUUAGCCAAGAGCAAGCAGGUGAUCAACAUACCUACUUGAGGACCAUAUGAGGUAGAUUACUGUUGUGGUUCUUAAGGUUUGUUCUUAUGCAAUAAUCCAUGAAUAUUGAGGUUUUCUGUUUUUUUUGGGCUUAUGGAGCAUUUCAGGUAAGAACCAAAAGAGAGAGAGAGAGAGAGAGAUAUUUUGUAGUUUAGCAUAAAAUAUUUUUUAGGUGAUGUAAUAAUGUAUUUGGCAAGUUUCUUGUUGCUCUUAUGGAAGUUGCUGUAAAUAUUUUUUUUUUUUUGUCAAAGCUGUAAUUCCUUGCUCCUAUGCAUUGUAAGUAUUUUUCUAAUGAGCUAUUUUGUUAUCACGACA
rnacentral:lncRNA from 1 species